GGCAGCUUCUGGGCUCUGCCGGCUUCCAAGGGCUCUGCUUGUCCAGCUCCCGUCACCUGUGAGUGACCAGCAACAAAAGCCUGACAGCACAGCAGUGACAGGGAUGCUCACUACAAGAUCAGAGAUCGAAGACCCCACUUUCCUUUCUAAAUCAACCCUUAGUGACACUUCAGGAUUACAGUAAGGAACCUGCUGCUGCUGCAUGGAUCCGUGCCUCCAAAUGGGGACAAGCGGCCACAUAGCCUUGAACCCACAGACUUCAGUGGAUGCCCGCCCCUCCUGGGGACACAUCAGACACAUCCUCCACUUCCUCUCUGCUCUCCUGGAUUUGGAGAAGACCACGUAGCUCACCGUGUGCCAGAGGCAGCCAUCUCAAGUGAAUAUGCAGCUGCUGGUGUCCCACUGCUCUCAUAAAGUGCUGGCAGCCCCCAUACAUCCACAUAAACAGAUGCACAGCACUGGAACGCGUCCUCUGCCAGCCAAAUGGAGCACCGAAAUCAGCCACGUAUGCACGGUACCUUAUGGUAUUCAGUGCUUAAAUUACUUUCCCCAUCUGCUCUUAAAACAGGAAAGCAAGAAAUCAAAGCAAGCAAAGACAUCAUAUAAAUGGAAUCAACAACUCCUGUGCAUUUGGAAAGGCUAGUAGCUGUGGUUCAAGAUGCUUGCAUUUAAUAUAAAAUACAAGACUGUUCUAAUCCAGCCUUGUCAAGUCCCAGAGUCUUACACUGCCUUCAACUUCAUCAAACCAUAGAUUCUGAAAACAGCAUUUUAAGUGGAAAGGAUCUCUGAACAACAAGAAGAGCCAAGUCAGCCUUUCAAAUGACACCAGACCACCAUGUGAUGUGAAUUAAAAAACCCACCACCCUGUAUGUAAUGACAGAAACCAUGGAAUUCAAAAGCAGCGUCUGUGUCCUGUGUCAUAAUUAGCACUUGGAUUAACAACAUGGGAAUAACAUCAGCUAUUUUUAAAACAUAUCGCUUAGCUACUUUCUGAAACACAAAAUGCAGUGUAAAACUGUGCAGAACACAAACUAGCCACAGAGCUUGUUGAAAUGCACUUGCUAAAAAUGCUACAGAGUUUAGACAGAAUCCCUUUGGAUGAGCUCAGAUGUCUUCCAAAACCUAAGGAAACAGUACAUG
ensembl:lncRNA